GGGCCUUGGACAAGUGGUGACUGA
rnacentral:piRNA from 1 species